UACGAGUGCCUCAAGCGUUAUCCGGAAUCAUUGGGCGUAAAGGUUGUGUAGGUGGUCAUAUUAGUCUUCUGUUAAAUUCUUCGGCUUAACCGGGGGCAUGCAGAGGAAACGGUAUGACUAGAGGAUGCGAGGGGUCUGCGGAACUCAUAGUGUAGCGGUAAAAUGCGUUGAUAUUAUGGGGAACACCAAAAAGCGAAGGCAGCAGACUGGAGCACUCCUGACACUGAAACAAGAAAGCGUGGGUCGCGAAUGGG
rnacentral:rRNA from 1 species